ACGAAGGCUUCGGCCUUAGUGGCGCACGGGUGCGUAACGCGUGGGAAUCUGCCCUCAGGUUCGGAAUAACAGCGAGAAAUUGCUGCUAAUACCGGAUGAUAUCGCGAGAUCAAAGAUUUAUCGCCUGAGGAUGAGCCCGCGUAGGAUUAGCUAGUUGGUGUGGUAAAGGCGCACCAAGGCGACGAUCCUUAGCUGGUCUGAGAGGAUGAUCAGCCACACUGGGACUGAGACACGGCCCAGACUCCUACGGGAGGCAGCAGUGGGGAAUAUUGGACAAUGGGCGAAAGCCUGAUCCAGCAAUGCCGCGUGAGUGAUGAAGGCCUUAGGGUUGUAAAGCUCUUUUACCCGGGAUGAUAAUGACAGUACCGGGAGAAUAAGCUCCGGCUAACUCCGUGCCAGCAGCCGCGGUAAUACGGAGGGAGCUAGCGUUAUUCGGAAUUACUGGGCGUAAAGCGCACGUAGGCGGCUUUGUAAGUUAGAGGUGAAAGCCUGGAGCUCAACUCCAGAAUUGCCUUUAAGACUGCAUCGCUUGAAUCCAGGAGAGGUGAGUG
rnacentral:rRNA from 1 species